rnacentral:rRNA from 1 species
UUCCAGACUCCUACGGGAGGCAGCAGUGAGGAAUAUUGGUCAAUGGGCGGGAGCCUGAACCAGCCAAGUCGCGUGAGGGACGACGGUCCUAUGGAUUGUAAACCUCUUUUGUCGGGGAACAAAGGCGCCCACGGGUGGGCGGAUGAGUGUACCCGAAGAAAAAGCAUCGGCUAACUCCGUGCCAGCAGCCGCGGUAAUACGGAGGAUGCGGGCGUUAUCCGGAUUUAUUGGGUUUAAAGGGUGCGUAGGCGGAACAUUAAGUCAGCGGUAAAAUCGAGGGGCUCAACCCCUUUAAGCCGUUGAAACUGGUGAUCUUGAGUGGGCGAGAAGUAUGCGGAAUGCGUGGUGUAGCGGUGAAAUGCAUAGAUAUCACGCAGAACUCCGAUUGCGAAGGCAGCAUACCGGCGCCCAACUGACGCUGAAGCACGAAAGCGUGGGUAUCGAACAGGAUUAGAUACCCGCGUA